GGAGGGGUGGCCGAGCCCGGUUUAUGGCGGCGGUCUUGAAAACCGUUAUAGGUGCAAGCCUAUCCAGGGUUCAAAUCCCUGCCCCUCCGCCA
rnacentral:tRNA from 1 species